GACGAACGCUGGCGGCGUGCUUAACACAUGCAAGUCGAGCGGAAAGGCCUUUCGGGGUACUCGAGCGGCGAACGGGCGAGUAACACGUGAGUAAUCUGCCCCCUACUUCGGGAUAGCCACUCGAAAGGGUGAUUAAUACCGGAUAUGACCGCUUCACGCAUGUGAUGGUGGUGGAAAGUUUUUCGGUGGGGGAUGUGCUCGCGGCCUAUCAGCUUGUUGGUGGGGUAAUGGCCUACCAAGGCUUCGACGGGUAGCCGGCCUGAGAGGGUGACCGGCCACACUGGGACUGUGACACGGCCCAGACUCCUACGGGAGGCAGCAGUGGGGAAUAUUGGACAAUGGGCGGAAGCCUGAUCCAGCAACGCCGCGUGAGGGAUGACGGCCUUCGGGUUGUAAACCUCUUUCAGCUACCACGAAGCGAAAGUGACGGUAGUAGCAGAAGAAGGACCGGCCAACUACGUGCCAGCCGCCGCAGUAAGAC
rnacentral:rRNA from 1 species